rnacentral:rRNA from 1 species
GUGAACGCUGGCGGUAGGCCUAACACAUGCAAGUCGAACGGCAGCACAGUAAGAGCUUGCUCUUACGGGUGGCGAGUGGCGGACGGGUGAGGAAUACAUCGGAAUCUACUUUUUCGUGGGGGAUAACGUAGGGAAACUUACGCUAAUACCGCAUACGACCUACGGGUGAAAGCAGGGGAUCUUCGGACCUUGCGCGAUUGAAUGAGCCGAUGUCGGAUUAGCUAGUUGGCGGGGUAAAGGCCCACCAAGGCGACGAUCCGUAGCUGGUCUGAGAGGAUGAUCAGCCACACUGGAACUGAGACACGGUCCAGACUCCCACGGGAGGCAGCGGUGGGGAAUAUUGGACAAAGGGCGCAAGCCUGAUCCAGCCAUACCGCGUGGGUGAAGAAGGCCUUCGGGUUGUAAAGCCCUUUUGUUGGGAAAGAAAAGCAGCAGGUUAAUACCCCGCUGUUCUGACGGUACCCAAAGAAUAAGCACCGGCUAACUUCGUG